GUUCAAUGUUCACCUCUGUGCAGAGUGUUCUGAAGAAUUCAAGCUUAUAUACUCAGCGGUCACUCUUUUCUCUUAGUCUCCUUGGAGAGAGGCAUUCCAUUCACAAUUAACUCACUUAAAGACUGGACUCAGAGGAAGUGUAAUGGGUGAACACUCAAAGCACAGGAGGAGAGGUAAGACAUGCCUUUUGCCUUCCACCGUGAUUGUGAGACCUCCCCAGCCACAUAGAACUAAUCCAUUUAAAGGGAUGGAAGAUUGAUGUCCAUGGCAUCCUCUGAACCUAAGAUCCUAAGACAUGUCACCCAUAAUCUGGUCACACCAUCCAAAAGAAACCCUGAAGGCACAGG
rnacentral:lncRNA from 1 species